rnacentral:rRNA from 1 species
CCUACGGGUGGCAGCAGUGAGGAAUAUUGGUCAAUGGACGCUAGCCUGAACCAGCCAAGUAGCGUGAAGGAUGACUGCCCUAUGGGUUGUAAACUUCUUUUAUAUGGGAAUAAAGUGUAGUAUGUAUACUGCUUUGCAUGUACCUUAUGAAUAAGGAUCGGCUAACUCCGUGCCAGCAGCCGCGGUAAUACGGAGGAUCCGAGCGUUAUCCGGAUUUAUUGGGUUUAAAGGGAGCGUAGGUGGAUUGUUAAGUCAGUUGUGAAAGUUUGCGGCUCAACCGUAAAAUUGCAGUUGAUACUGGCAGCCUUGAGUACAGUAGAGGUGGGCGGAAUUCGUGGUGUAGCGGUGAAAUGCUUAGAUAUCACGAAGAACUCCGAUUGCGAAGGCAGCCUGCUGGACUGUAACUGACGCUGAGGCUCGAAAGUGUGGGUAUCAAACAGGAUUAGAUACCCUGGUAGUC